AGCGAACGCUGGCGGCAGGCUUAACACAUGCAAGUCGAACGGGCUUCUUCGGACGUCAGUGGCAGACGGGUGCGUAACACGUGGGAACGUGCCCUUCGGUUCGGACUAACCCAGGGAAACUUGAGCUCAUACCGGAUACGCCCUUUUGGGGAAAGGUUUACUGCCGCAGGAUCGGUCCGCGUCUGAUUAGCUUGUUGGUGGGGUAACGGCCUACCAAGGCGACGAUCAGUAGCUGGUCUGAGAGGAUGAUCAGCCACACUGAGACUGAGACACGGCCCAGACUCCUACGGGAGGCAGCAGUGGGGAAUAUUGGACAAUGGGCGCAAGCCUGAUCCAGCCAUGCCGCGUGAGUGAUGAAGGCCUUAGGGUUGUAAAGCUCUUUUGUCCGGGACGAUAAUGACGGUACCGGAAGAAUAAGCCCCGGCUAACUUCGUG
rnacentral:rRNA from 1 species